UGUAGAUUUAUACAUGGCAAUGUUAGAAUGGUAACUAGAAAGAACAAUGACCAGGUUUUUCUCAUUUGAUGCCAUAGAUAGACCAUAGAGAAAAGUAGAAUGGAAACAGGAGGGGAGAGUUAAAAGAGUAAAGAAAAGUUGUAUAAAAGAACAGACAUGAAAGAUGUUUAACUGAAUAAAGAAAAAAAAAAUAUUAUAUCUGUAUAAUUGUGGUUCUAUAGAAAGGAAGAUGCAGAAAACCAGAAUAACUUGUUUGGCAUACCAAGGAAGAGAUGAUGUUUGGAAUAAUCAUUUCAGAAUAAGCAAACCCUCACAACCCACAAACAAAUUGCAUGUUAAAAUGGUAAAUGGUAAAACCUUAUGACAAGUAAAUUACA